UACAGAGGUCCCAAGCGUUGUUCGGAUUCAUUGGGCGUAAAGGGUGCGUAGGUGGCGCCGUAAGUGGGGUGUGAAAUUUCGGAGCUUAACUCCGAAACUGCAUUCCAUACUGCGGUGCUUGAGGACUGGAGAGGGGACUGGAAUUCAUGGUGUAGCAGUGAAAUGCGUAGAGAUCAUGAGGAAGACCAGUGGCGAAGGCGGGUCUCUGGACAGUUCCUGACACUGAGGCACGAAGGCUAGGGGAGCGAACGGG
rnacentral:rRNA from 1 species